rnacentral:rRNA from 1 species
CCUACGGGUGGCAGCAGUGGGGAAUAUUGCACAAUGGGGGAAACCCUGAUGCAGCGACGCCGCGUGAGUGAAGAAGUAUUUCGGUAUGUAAAGCUCUAUCAGCAGGGAAGAAAAUGACGUUACCUGAUUAAGAUGCACCUGCUAACUCCGUGCCAGCAGCCGCGGUACUACGUAGGGGGCAAGCGUUAUCAGGAUUUACUGGGUGUAAAGGGAGCGUAGACGGCAGCACAAGUCAGGCGUGAAAUGCCGGGGCUUAACCCCGGAACGGCUUUUGAAACUGUGCAGCUAGAGUGCAGGAGAGGUAAGUGGAAUUCCUGGUGUAGCGGUGAAAUGCGUAGAUAUUAGGAGGAAAACCAGUGGCGAAGGCGACUUACUGGAAUGUAACUGACGUUGAGGCGCGAAAGCGUGGGGAGCAAACAGGAUUAGAUACCCGAGUAGUC